rnacentral:rRNA from 1 species
GCGAACGCCCUCUCGGGGUUGUGCUGGCGCCCCUGGCGCAUGUGCACGUCUCGGAGGGUUGUCCAUCUCCUCACACCUGUGCACACGUCCGGUCGGACCCGGCGCCUCGCGCGUCGACCGGCCGCCUUUCACAACAGCCAUGUCAGAGUGUCGAAAGCUUUAUGCGCUUGCGCAACCGAAAAACAACUUUUAACAACGGAUCUCUUGGUUCUCGCAUCGAUGAAGAACGCAGCGAAAUGCGAUAAGUAAUGUGAAUUGCAGAAUUCAGUGAAUCAUCGAAUCUUUGAACGCACCUUGCGCUCCUUGGUACUCCGAGGAGCAUGCCCGUUUGAGUGUCUCGAUAUCAUCAGAAGCCCAUCCCUCUGUGGCUGGUGCUCCUGGACUUGGAUGUGCUGCCRGGCAAUCGCGCCUGGCUCAUCCGAAAUGCAUUAGCGAGAGAUGCAAGCUCUGCCGGCUCUCUUUGGCGUGAUAAGGUCACCCGUCGAGAGGCCCCGGUGGUUAAGGCCUGCAAUCCUUUUGCUUCCAACCGUCCUUUUGGACAACAGCAGACUCUGUCUGACAUCUGACCUCAAAUCGGGUAGGACUACCCGCUGAACUUAAGCAUAUCAAUAAGCGGAGGAAAAGAAACUAACAAGGAUUC